AUAAUCCUAAAAAGGUACCAACUUUAGACAAGUAUAAUCAUGUGAUAAAUAAAUAAAUUCUGGAAUUUCUUUUCACCGUAAUAAAAUAGACAAAAUUAUGAACACAUAGCAAAAAGCGUGGCUCAAAAAGGCUUAGGGAUCAUCAAGUUAUGAGUCUUUGAAGUUAUGAAAAAUAACAAAAAUAAAUAGGCAAAAAAAAAAACAAUGAAUAAAAAUGGGUUUGGGACAAGCAGGAUUUGAACCCCAGAACUCUUGCACACACAAAGCCUUAACAAAC
rnacentral:lncRNA from 1 species